rnacentral:rRNA from 1 species
CCCCAGACUCCUACGGGAGGCAGCAGUGGGGAAUAUUGCACAAUGGGGGAAACCCUGAUGCAGCGACGCCGCGUGAGUGAGGAAGUAUUUCGGUAUGUAAAGCUCUAUCAGCAGGGAAGAAAAUGACGGUACCUGACUAAGAAGCCCCGGCUAACUACGUGCCAGCAGCCGCGGUAAUACGUAGGGGGCAAGCGUUAUCCGGAUUUACUGGGUGUAAAGGGAGCGUAGACGGACUUGCAAGUCUGAUGUGAAAAUCCGGGGCCCAACCCCGGAACUGCAUUGGAAACUGUAUAUCUAGAGUGUCGGAGAGGCAAGUGGAAUUCCUGGUGUAGCGGUGAAAUGCGUAGAUAUUAGGAGGAACACCAGUGGCGAAGGCGACUUUCUGGACUGUACCUGACGCUGAGGCGCGAAAGCGUGGGUAGCGAACGGGAUUAGAUACCCCUGUAU